ensembl:lncRNA
GGGAGGUGGAUGGCCCGCCCACUGUCUCCGGGGUCCAGAGGGACGGCGGCCGGUCGGAGCCAGCCGCCGCGACCUCUCAACCAACCCUGGGCCAGCAACGAGCGGAGGAGGCAAAACUAAACACGGCCAAUCAGACUCUGUAACCAACCCAGCCGGCCAGUGAAAUCAGAUGUGUGUGUGUGUGGGGGGGCUCAUCGACCAAAAGGAAACAACCAAUGUGAUCACCCCCAACACCCCCACCCCCACCCCCUCAAAACUUGUUUCCAUCCUCCCCUCUUCUUCACGUCUGACUGGUUACUGCUGCUGCACAGGGCUUCCCCUAUGGACCAAUCCUGGCACUGCGCUCAUCUCUCUACCGACCACAGGUUGCCAAUCCACACUGUGGUAGCCUCUCCUUCCCCCUUACCUUUCUCCCGCUCUCGCUCUCGCUCUUGCUCGGUCUCUCUCGCUCUCGCUCUUGCUCGGUCUCUCUCUCUCUCCCCCUUCUCUCUCUGACUCUCUAUCUCGCUCUCUCUCUCUCCCCCUUCUCUCUCGCUCUCUCUCACUCUCUCUCUCUCGCUCUCUCUCUCGCACUCUCUCUCUCUCUCUCCCCCCCCUUUCUCUGUCUCUCUCUCUCUCUGUCGCUCUCUCUCUCUCUCUCUCUCUCCCCCCUUUUCUCUCUCUCUCUCUCUCUCUCUCUCUCUCUCUCCCCCCCUUCUCUCUGUCCCUCUCUGACUCUCUAUCUCUCUCGCUCUCUAUCUCUAUCUGCGCUGGUGAUCAGGGAAUCAUGUAAGAAAAAGUUACCAAUAAAAGCCCCCCCCCACCACCAUAUUUAGUGCAAAUACAUUCUAUGAAAAGAAGUCUACACCAAGAUGUGUGAGCGAAACAAGUGUGCACUGGGAUGGAGGCCGUAACCGCGGCGACCGACUCAGCUUCCCCCUUCAGUUCCAUUCCAUUCGCCAAGCCUCCUCUGUGAAGACUUCGACCUCGUAACGUUUAUAGUUUUUUUUUUUUUUUUCCACCUCCUGGUUUAGCCACAGAGGCUCUCUCUCUCUCUCUCUCUCUCUCUCUCUCUCUCUCUCUCUCUCUCUCUCUCUCUCUCUCUCUCUCUCUCUCUCUCUCUCUCUCUCUCUCUCUCUCUCUCUCUCUCUCUCUCUCUCUCAUAUUCUCGUUCUCUCGCUCUUUACCACCAAUAAAGAAAAACAACUGUUUGGGAGAAGAGCAAAAAAAAAAUAUCUUUCACUCCUCCUGUCUUCUCUUCGCCAUGCACAAUAUACACAUGCGUUGAACUUUAACCCCUUCUGCCCUUUUUUUGUUUUAAAGAAAGUUGUGAUUUCGGGACACCUGGGUACAAACCUGCACACCACGAUGUGCAAAGAGGCACAUUGCAUCAGGUUGAACAUUUGUCGGUGUGCUGCAAGGUUUUCUUUUUAUCUUUUUAUUCUUUUGGAUAUGGCAUAAUGCAAUGUCAACAACCUCUCUCUCUCGCUCUCCCCCUAUCCUCUCUCUGCCCCCUCUCUCCUCCCUCUCUCUGCAACUAACUCUCCAAAACUUCCCCAUUUGUAUAUAUUGUUGCCAACCACUUGUUUCCAAACCAACUCGGACGCCCUCCUGCAUCAACACUGUUGGUUCUCCUUCUUCUCCAACCGUAAGGAACCGAACCAACGAGUCCCCUUUAACCGCGGCGGCCGAGUCGAGGAAACCUGUAUGAGCCCUGACAACGGGAAGACUCGUCUGAGACCCGUUAGUGUCUGAACUAAGAGACCAGAGGGGGGGGGGGUGUACAUUACGCUGUAUGUGGUCAAGGGCCGGGGAGGAUCUGACGACAUGAUACAAAAAGAAACAGAAAUGCUAAUAAAAAAAAAUAAGCUGAUGUUUUUGUGACGUUUUUCUUGACUGUCUACUUUUGUUUACUUUUAUGUAUAUUUGUCGAGUAAACCUUUAAAAAGAAUGAGGGCAUGAGUUGAGGCUAGUAUUGGAGCUUUUAUUGUGGAAAUGCAGUGUUUAAAGUGCUAUGAAUGAGUUAUUCUGUUAUUUGUGUCCGAAUCUACCUAUCAUUUUCAUCUUAUUAUGCCUCAUCAACAAUUAAACACGAAAUUAGAC